rnacentral:lncRNA from 1 species
CUUUGGUUGGCAGCAAAGCAGAGACCAUGUCUUAGCUCUCUUAAGAUCUGAAAUAGAAAAAAUAACUCAGUGAUGAAAUGUGUGGCAAGGGAGGGAUCCUUGAGGAACACACAGACUUAUAUGGGAAGAAAAUGAAGAAUGCCACAGCAGGUCACAGUAACGUUGAAGAAAAGGGAGAUAACAGAGUAAUCCAGUCCCAG